rnacentral:ncRNA from 1 species
GGGAUUACGGUGUAUACCUAGGCACCCAGAGAUGACGAAGGACAUGGUAAGUGAUGAAAUGCUUUGGGGAGUUGAAAAUGAGCAUAGAUCCAAAGAUUCUCAAAUAGGUUAACGUUUUUAAUUGUUGCUAAAUCCAUGGGCAGGAAGAUACAACCUAGUGAACUGAAACAUCUUAGUAGCCAUAGGAGUAGAAAGCAAAAGCGAUCCCCGUAGUAGCGGCAAGUGAAAUGGGAGUAGCCUAAACCGUGAAAAUGGUGUUGUGGGAGAGCAUAAUAUAAGCUAUGUGCUGCUAAGCGAAGUACUUGAGUCCUUCACCCUAUAUGGUGAGAGUCCAGUAGCCAAAGUAUCAUUGUAUUAAGCUCUAACCCAAGUAUCAUGGGGCACAUGGAAUCCCGUGUGAAUUAGCAAGGACCACCUUUCAAGGGUAAAUACUCCUGGGUGUCCGAUAGCGAAGUAGUACCAUGAGGGAAAUGUGAAAACAACCCCCAUCGGGGAGUGAAAUAGAACAUGAAACCAUAAGCUCCCAAAUAGUGGGAGGAAGAUGAUAUCUUUGACCGCGUUCCUGUUGAAGAAUGAGACAAUGACUUAUAGGUAGUGGCUUGGUUAAGGGAACCCACCGGAGUUGUAGCGAGAGCAAGUCUCCAUUGGGAAUUUUUCACUUCUUAUGGACCCAAACCUGGGUGAUCUAUCCAUGGCCAGGAUGAAACUUGGGUUAAACUAAGUGGAGGUUCGAACCAAAUCAUGUUGAAACAUCAGCAGAUGAGUUGUGGUUAGGGGUGAAAUUCCACUCGAACCCAGAGCGAGCUGGUUCUCCCCGAAAUGUGUUGAGGCACAGCAAUUGACUGGACCAUCUAGGGGUAAAUCAUUGUUUCGGUAUGGGCCAUGAGAGAAGUACCAAAUCAUGGAAAACUCUCAAUACUAGAUUUCCCCAAUAAAAGGGGUAAAGGUUAGCAAGUGAGAUGAUGGUGGAUAAGCUUCAUUGUCAAGAGGGGAACAACCCAGAUCAUCAACUAAGCCCCCUAAAUGAUCGCUCAGUGAUGAAGGAACUAUGAGUGCAAAGACAACCAUGAGGUUUUCCUAGAAGAAACCAACCUUCAAAUAGUGUGUAAUAGCUUACUAAUCGAGUGCUCUUGCACCGAAGAUGAACAUGACUAAGAAAUCUGUUGAAGCUGUGGGAUGUAAAAAUACAUCAGUAGGGGUGUGUUUCACCUCAGAGGGAAGCACCAACGCGAGAAGGUGUGUAUGAAGUGGAAGCGAGAAUGUCGGCUUGAGUAACGCAAACAUUGGUGACAAUACAAUG